rnacentral:rRNA from 1 species
GCACAACGCGAAGAACCUUACCUGGGUUUGACAUACACCGGACCGCCCCAGAGAUGGGGUUUCCCUUGUGGUCGGUGUACAGGUGGUGCAUGGCUGUCGUCAGCUCGUGUCGUGAGAUGUUGGGUUAAGUCCCGCAACGAGCGCAACCCUUGUCCUGUGUUGCCAGCACGUAAUGGUGGGGACUCGCAGGAGACUGCCGGGGUCAACUCGGAGGAAGGUGGGGACGACGUCAAGUCAUCAUGCCCCUUAUGUCCAGGGCUUCACACAUGCUACAAUGGCCGGUACAGAGGGCUGCGAUACCGCGAGGUGGAGCGAAUCCCUUAAAGCCGGUCUCAGUUCGGAUCGGGGUCUGCAACUCGACCCCGUGAAGUCGGAGUCGCUAGUAAUCGCAGAUCAGCAACGCUGCGGUGAAUACGUUCCCGGGUCUUGUACACACCG